rnacentral:rRNA from 1 species
AGAGUUUGAUCAUGGCUCAGGAUGAACGCUGGCGGCGUGCUUAACACAUGCAAGUCGAUCGGGAAUGUUUCGCUGAUGCGAUUUCGGUCAAAUCUUGAAGCAUUUUAGUGGCGGACGGGUGAGUAACGCGUGGGUAACCUGCCCUGUACAGGGGGACAACAGUUGGAAACGACUGCUAAUACCGCAUAAGCGCACAGCUUCGCAUGAAGCAGUGUGAAAAACUCCGGUGGUACAGGAUGGACCCGCGUCUGAUUAGAUAGUUGGUGAGGUAACGGCCCACCAAGUCAACGAUCAGUAGCCGGCCUGAGAGGGCGAGCGGUCACAUUGGGACUGAGACACGGCCCAAACUCCUACGGGAGGCAGCAGUGGGGAAUAUUGCACAAUGGGGGAAACCCUGAUGCAGCGACGCCGCGUGAAGGAAGAAGUAUCUCGGUAUGUAAACUUCUAUCAGCAGGGAAGAAAAUGACGGUACCUGACUAAGAAGCCCCGGCUAACUACGUGCCAGCAGCCGCGGUAAUACGUAGGGGGCAAGCGUUAUCCGGAUUUACUGGGUGUAAAGGGAGCGUAGACGGAUGGACAAGUCUGAUGUGAAAGGCUGGGGCUCAACCCCGGGACUGCAUUGGAAACUGCCCGUCUUGAGUGCCGGAGAGGUAAGCGGAAUUCCUAGUGUAGCGGUGAAAUGCGUAGAUACUAGGAGGAACACCAGUGGCGAAGGCGGCUUACUGGACGGUAACUGACGUUGAGGCUCGAAAGCGUGGGGAGCAAACAGGAUUAGAUACCCUGGUAGUCCACGCGGUAAACGAUGAAUGCUAGGUGUCGGGGAGCAAAGCUCUUCGGUGCCGCCGCAAACGCAUUAAGCAUUCCACCUGGGGAGUACGUUCGCAAGAAUGAAACUCAAAGGAAUUGACGGGGACCCGCACAGGCGGUGGAGCAUGUGGUUUAAUUCGAAGCAACGCGAAGAACCUUACCAAGUCUUUACAUCCCUCUGACCGACUCUUAACCGAGUCUUUCCUUCGGGACAGAGGAGACAGGUGGUGCAUGGUUGUCGUCAGCUCGUGUCGUGAGAUGUUGGGUUAAGUCCCGCAACGAGCGCAACCCCUAUCCCCAGUAGCCAGCGGUUCGGCCGGGCACUCUGAGGAGACUGCCAGGGAUAACCUGGAGGAAGGCGGGGAUGACGUCAAAUCAUCAUGCCCCUUAUGAUUUGGGCUACACACGUGCUACAAUGGCGUAAACAAAGGGAAGCGAACCUGCGAGGGUGGGCAAAUCCCAAAAAUAACGUCCCAGUUCGGACUGUAGUCUGCAACCCGACUACACGAAGCUGGAAUCGCUAGUAAUCGCGGAUCAGAAUGCCGCGGUGAAUACGUUCCCGGGUCUUGUACACACCGCCCGUCACACCAUGGGAGUCAGUAACGCCCGAAGUCAGUGACCUAACCGCAAGGAAGGAGCUGCCGAAGGCGGGACCGAUGACUGGGGUGAAGUCGUAACAAGGUA